AGCGGCUGCCCCUCCCUCCGGAUCACACAGGGUUUUUGCGGUAGUGGUGACAGCCGGAUUGGGCACUGGGGAAGCAAUUGAUUUGUCUACUGCCCGCAGUCCCCGGAGAGGAAGAGAGAAAAGAGAAGAGGAGAGAGAGAGAGAGAGAGAGAGAGAGAGAGAGAGAGAGAGAGAGAGAGAGAGAGAGACUUACAAAACCUUCCAUCCAUGUGGAGUAGUCUGAGUGAAUCACUGCCCACCGUCUGCAGACUCCAAUUGUACUUAGUUUUCGCCUCUGCUGGGGGCACUACUGCUGAUCUUUCAAGCCAAGUCUCCAGUACUUAACAUCUCUCUACCGGCAGGGAAGGCAAGGAGUUGGCAAGAAUUUGACUCACCCAUUCUGCUACAAUCCUCUACUGUCCCGGUGUGCCAGCCUUCCGCCAUGACUGAUACUGUGGUGAACCGAUGGAUGUACCCUGGUGAUGGCCCGCUU